AUUGAACGCUGGCGGCAUGCUUUACACAUGCAAGUCGAACGGUAACAGGUUAAGCUGACGAGUGGCGAACGGGUGAGUAAUGCAUCGGAACGUGCCCGAUCGUGGGGGAUAACGCAGCGAAAGCUGCGCUAAUACCGCAUACGAUCUGAGGAUGAAAGCGGGGGACCGUAAGGCCUCGCGCGAUCGGAGCGGCCGAUGUCAGAUUAGGUAGUUGGUGGGGUAAAGGCUCACCAAGCCAACGAUCUGUAGCUGGUCUGAGCGGACGACCAGCCACACUGGGACUGAGACACGGCCCAGACUCCUACGGGAGGCAGCAGUGGGUAAUUUUGGACAAUGGGCGAAAGCCUGAUCCAGCAAUGCCGCGUGCAGGAAGAAGGCCUUCGGGUUGUAAACUGCUUUUGUACGGAGCGAAAAGGCCCUCUCUAAUACAGUGGGCUCAUGACGGUACCGUAAGAAUAAGCACCGGCUAACUUCGUGCCAGCAGCCGCGGUAA
rnacentral:rRNA from 1 species